AGCCAUGCAUGCUUUGAUUCAUAAAUGAAAUUGCGUACGGCUCAUUAGAGCAGAUAUCACCUUUCUCGGAAUCCUGAAAAGGAUAACUGCGGAAAUUCUGGAGCUAAUACAUGCGACUAUACUCCAACGCAAGGCGGGGUGCAAUUAUUAGAACAGACCAAACGUUUUCGGACGUUGUUUGUUGACUCUGAAUACCGUCGUUUACUGUCAGUUUCGACUGACUCUAUCCGAGAAGGGUGUCUGCCCUUUCAACUAGAUGGUAAUCUAUUGGACUACCAUGGUUGUUACGGGUAACGGAGAAUUAGGGUUCGACUCCGGAGAGGGAGCCUUAGAAACGGCUACCACGUCCAAGGAAGGCAGCAGGCGCGAAACUUAUCCACUGUUGAGUAUGAGAUAGUGACUAAAAAUAUAAAGACUCAUCCUUUUGGAUGAGUUAUUUCAAUGAGUUGAAUAUAAAUUAUUCUUCGAGUAGCAAGGAGAGGGCAAGUCUGGUGCCAGCAGCCGCGGUAAUUCCAGCUCUCCUAGUGUAUCUCGUUAUUGCUGCGGUUAAAAAGCUCGUAGUUGGAUCUAGGUUACGUGCCGCAGUUCGCAAUUUGCGUUAACUGUGGUCGUGACUUCUAAUUUGCUGGUUUGAGGUUGGGUUCGCCCUUCAACUGCCAGCAGGUUUACCUUGAAUAAAUACAGAGUGCUCAAUACAGGCGCUUGCUUGAAUAGCUCAUCAUGGAAUAAUGAAACAGGACUUCGGUUCUUUUUGUUGGUUCUAGAAUUGAUCUAAUGGUUAAGAGGGACAAACCGGGGGCAUUCGUAUCAUUACGCGAGAGGUGAAAUUCGUGGACCGUAGUGAGACGCCCAAUAGCGAAAGCAUUUGCCAAGAAUGUCUUCAUUAAUCAAGAACGAAAGUCAGAGGUUCGAAGGCGAUUAGAUACCGCCCUAGUUCUGACCGUAAACGAUGCCAUCUCGCGAUUCGGAGGGUUCAUGCCCUACCGAGGAGCUACCCGGAAACGAAAGUCUUUCGGUUCCGGGGGUAGUAUGGUUGCAAAGCUGAAACUUAAAGAAAUUGACGGAAGGGCACCACAAGGCGUGGAGCUUGCGGCUUAAUUUGACUCAACACGGGAAAACUCACCCGGUCCGGACACUAUUAGGACUGACAGAUUGAAAGCUCUUUCUCGAUUUGGUGGUUGGUGGUGCAUGGCCGUUCUUAGUUGGUGGAGUGAUUUGUCUGGUUUAUUCCGAUAACGAGCGAGACUCUAGCCUGCUAAAUAGUCGACGAAUCUUCGGGUUCGUAUAACUUCUUAGAGGGAUAAGCGGUGUUUAGCCGCACGAGAU
rfam:Caenorhabditis japonica strain DF5081 Contig8884.1, whole genome shotgun sequence.